ensembl:lncRNA
UUUAUACACCAUAGCUCUCCAUAAUGAGUGUAAUGCUUCCGUUGUCCCAUAAUGUGCCAUAAUGAGAAAUCACAGAAUCAUACAAUGGCCUGGGUUGAAAAGGACCAUAAUGAUCAUUUAGUUUCAAACCCCCUGCCAUGUUCAGGGUCACCAACCACUAGAUCAGGCUUCCCAGAGCCACAUCCAGCCUGGAAUGAAGAGAUGGAGCUGGGAGCAGCUCUGGCCAUCAGUGGCCCCAACAUCCGGACUUGAAUCUUUCUAAGAAUCUACUUAGAAAUCAAAAGUACUGCUUUACCUCCCAUCCAAAGGGCUCCCAGGCGCUGAGGAAUUAAAAUGUACCCUCUGUUAUCCUUUCUAUUUUGGCUUUUUCUAGAUUCAAAGCUAAUUGCUCUGACCAGCAGUUUUCCUCAGGGAGUCAUUAUUAUGUCCCCUGUAGCCUUCUUUUUCGUUCCUCUCAUCUCCCCUGAGCUCUUGGUUUCUGCAGUGCAGAGCUCCGCAGGCUUUCCUGUUACCUCAGCUGGUCCCACUCGCUCUCAGGGUUAAGCCGCAGCUCAGUAGCUCUGACGGAGCUAUUGGAACAAUAGCGUUGUUGCUUGAAUAAAAGCAUAAUGAAAAAUGGCCCUUCAAAGAUCACAUAGAUAGUCAGAAUGCCUUACUCUCUGCACUUUUACCAGGUUUACGAGGAAGCCAUGAAUAAUCCUUCACUGUUUUCCAGGGCUCUUUCCUUCACCCAUAUAGGACUUGAAUCGUCAGCACACAAUCCCUCUCCUGAGUUAAGCUGGUAUUGCUAUAAUAAUGCUUCUAGUCUUUUCCCUAGCACCUUCUUGAAACAUGUCAGAUCAAGACAGGAUAUUUUCUCAAUAACAGAAGUUUCUGAAGUCUAGGAAACUGUCAUUUCUUCAGUGAAUGCAAUCCCUACAAGUUCUUGUCUGACCCACUUAGCCAGGCAUGCAAUUGUUAACAAAACCUGCAUGAGACACAUGAAUCCAUAACAUUGAUGAGCAGCCUGUGUAUGCUCCAGAUGCCCACAGCAUCUGUCCCUUUGCCAACUGAGUGACCUUGAAUAAUCCAUGACACCGCAACUGUCACAGGUGCUCUCCCAUGAUGAAUAUUUUUAGCUGAUUUUCUAAAGGUAUGAAGCUCAGCAUCUCUGUUGGAAUAGGUGCUGUUGUGUGUGUGCUCUGCCUGGGAUUUCAGCUCUGCUUCUGGGAGACGGCUAAGUGAGGAACGACCAUGCAGCACAAACACCCUAGCUCAGUGCUGAACUGGGCACUCAGCCUCAUAGCCUUGCAGGUUCCUCAGCACAGACAUCAUCCCUUGGGCACUGGGAUCAGUGCCAGCAUGCUGGUCCUGCACCCCUUCCUACGUGGAAUUAGAUAUGCAGGAGAAACUCCUUCAUACUCCCAGAAUUUAUCAUAGUUGAUGUGACCGUGGAGAAAAAUUUGAGGUUCUUUUCUCACAAGAAAUUCUCAUUGAGAUUAUAAACAGCUCUUGAUGAUAGUUGCAGAAAUGUGUCAAGGGGAAAAAAAAAACAGAUGAUAACAUUACAAAGCAGCUGUGUCUCCUGCGUCAGGACCUUCAAAGCACAAGAUGUUCUGCUUUCUUGGCCUUUUAGACUGCUUUGUUCCAAAGAUGGUAAUCAGUUGGAAGUUUUCUGCAAGCUUUUGAUGGCCUAUUAAAUAAUGUUGUUCUUGUCUUUUAACAGUUGACAUGUCAACGUAUUAAACUUGCCAACACUUUUGGCCUGCAUCACACAGCUUAUAUCACACAGAAAAAUUUUCAUUUUCUAAUGCUAAUGAAGCCAACUGAAUUUGGUAGUUUUGGUUUCAAGAGAGUAAUUUGUAAGCCUAGUGCUGGGCAAGAAAAUGGUACACCUUGUUGGAUAAUGCUUACAAUUAUAAUCAAGGAAAAAUGCAGACUUCUCUCCGAAUUAAUCCAGUAAGCCAAAUCUCUGUAGACUUCAACCAAAAAUGCCUAGUUUUCUAAACCUCAACUUCCUACCCAAAUAAAAUCCAUUGCUCAGAAAUGAUGACUCUUUACUCAGGCACUGCUUCUAAAAAGGUGUUGUUUAGGAUCACACCUAUUCAUAAAACCUUAAACAAAUGGCAAAAAGCAAAGGCAGUGGCAGGGGAAGCUAGAGUUUGACAACAAGAUUCACAAAUGAAGUUUGCCAAGGCUGGGUUUUUCUCUCCCCCAGAAUAAUGAGAUCAGAGACCUUCAGAUUCUCUUCUGAUUCUGGGAUUUAUGCAUACAAAUGGCCUUUGUGUCUUCUAGGUGAUUUCUGUUUCCUAUUACAGCACUCUGCUUCCCCCCGAACAAUAUGGAGCAAUUCUAGCUUGUCUGCUAAUUAAGUGUAAAGUUGUCUGAAUUUCUUUAUUAAUACAAAUUUUAAUGCGCUCACUGAAUGGAAUAUAUUAUGUUUCCACUUCCUUCUGAGCUUACCAGGAAGAUUUUGCUAUAUUUGUACCAUAAUCUCUUCCGCUCCUCUACAGAUGAGAAGGAAAGACCCGGCCUAUUGCUGAUACAGAGCAUCAGUUUGUCAAGCAUUUUGUGCAUCCCUCGGGAUUAGUGGAGCUAUGAAAUUGUAUCAUUAUCGUUGCUUGCUGCAGUACUGAACCACAAGGCAGGGCCUGAGAGAAUAUGCAUGCAUGUUUGUGCAAUGACAUUUUUAAGCCACGUUUCGCCUUUUCAUUUCUUUAUAUCCUGCAUACUAAUCCAGCCCCAAAGUAUUCCAGGCUGGUGCCCAGAACCAGAAUUUCCUUCUGUUUUAAAUAAGCUAUUUAAGCUAUUUCACCACAGCUCAUUAUUUACAGAUAGGUGAACUGUUGCUUUUUGCUUAGACACAUUUACAACUUCUGAAGGGAGAGGCAGACUUGGAGACUGCUGUGAAGAGAUUUGGAUUUCAACCUUUGUCUCCAGGGCAUGCCUUUGAAAAACAGAGCUAUUGCGGACACAGGAUUUGGCUCUGCAAGCACUAAAAUGCACACAUAAAGUGCAAUAGCAGCAUCAAAGUCAUGAUUUUGCAAUAUCUGGGCCUUAUUUAAGAAUGUGAGCCAGCCUGGAAGCACUUCAUUUUAGGCAGAUUUGUUUUCCACUUUGUUACAGAAAAGCAAAUUUCAGAGCUCAAUAAGCACUAACCUGAGGGGAAAGUCAUACACCCAUCAGAGAGAGAAGUGGGCUUGAAAGAGCCUCCCUUGACAUGCUACAGAAGUUAGUGUUUCCUUGGAAGUCUCUAUGUUUAAAAAAAAAAAAAAAAAAAGCUUGUAAACUAAAGGUCUAUAAAUGAACAAAUAAAUGAUAAGAGCUGAUAAGAGCUGGUCUCAGCAUUUCCUGUUGUUCAAGUUCUGCCACCACACCGGGCCAUUGUGCUCCUGUUGGUCCCUAAGGGCUGUGCCAGAGCCAACACUGCCAACACUUGCAGUUCCCUGACAGGGUGCGACCGUGCUUUUGGACACGGCCCUAAGCAAACAGCAGUGGUGAACUUUUCCAGCCAGCAAGGGAAGUCACAGUGACGCGGCAAGCCAUGCUUCCAGCAAAGCCUGGCCAGGAGGGAUUAACUCUUCCCAAGGCAAAGGAUUAUCUUCUCUUCUGUCCAGAUCUGAACAGGGGGCUCAUUUACCCACUCAUCGUGCAAUCCUUCCUCUUCCAUUGGCUUGUUUCAGAUACAGAAGGAGUACCUGCAAAUUGGAAAGCAGAGUUUGGAGCAAAUGAGUGGCAGCACUGUACACAGAAAUGAAGUUUUGGUUUGGGGAAAUGUCAUGCUUGUUCUCCACAGCAGGAAAGUGGAUGCAUGGAAGCAUCACCACGGAUAAUUUUCAGUGAUUUGGAGAAUGGAAUUCUGUAUGGGAACAGAAGAUAACACUUCAAGAACAGGCCAGUGAGAAGAAAAGAAAGACAGUGAAACAUAGCAACUGUCUGAAAACAUACAGAAGUUCAGAAGGUCAAAAAGGUUGAGUCACUAUUUUCUCGCAAAUAAGAUUACACAUAAAGAUAAACAGAAAGCAAUUUUCCUCACUAUCUGUGGCAGUAAAAGUUAACGCCCUAUGAAGUGUCUUGUUGCAAUCUAAGAAAGCAGGAACCGUACAUCUUCAAGACCUGUAAAAGAUCUCUGCAGGCCCCAAACAAGGAAGCAAAGGCAGUAAAUGUCUUCAAAUUUCGUAACAGAAUAAGGAAAUGAAACAGGAGAUCAAUACCUGGCACAGCUAAAAAGCAAAAUGAACAUGUAUUUAGAAAUGUCUUUGAGAACUCGCUUCAGUGCAGAUGUAGAGUAUUAGUGAUGAAUGACUUCAGAAUGUUUUCAUGAGAGAAGGAAACAGAACUUGACCCAAAGAUGUUGAAUUAGCAAUGACACAAGGAGUAGUCAGAGUGACAUGAACUGACUCAAUAAGCAAAGCAAAACAUAUAGACAGCUGGAAACACCACAGAUUCUUCUGUCUCCAGUAUGAGUUCAUUCUAUAUGUACUUGUAAAUGUGAAUUAUCUAUAAAUGUCAGACAGGCCUCCAAGAGCAGAACCAUGGCUAAGAUGAUGCUAACUCGCAUCUGCCUUAAGGGUGGUCUCUACUCUCAGAGGACACACGGACAGGAAAAAAAGCCAAAUUUGGGGUUGUGAGGAUGAAAGACAGAGAAGUCGGUAUAGCUUGUGUUGUACACAGCAGGAAGCAACAAAGCAUGGUGGAAUUAAAUAGUUAUAAUGGAGAUGCAGCUUCUCUUACCAUGAACCCUUCAUAUCAGCAGCACCAAGAUGAACCAGGCACCCACAGUAACAAGCUUGCUCCUACCCAGGUGGAAGCUAUCCAUGAGAAUGGGUUAGAGUUCAUCCCAUCACAACAGGAAAACUAAAAUCACACUGCAGUGGUUAACUGUGUCAGGAAAUAAAAGUUAAGCAGCAGAAAAGGAAGAAACUGAUUUACAGACCUGUUACAGGGAGUUCGUGAGUACAGCAACUCAAGACCAUCUACAUCAGUAUUAAUGAUAAAGGUACAAAUCUGAAAACAUAGCACAGUGGAUGCAUUAAAUGCGAUGAAGGAGACUGCCUGUACAAACUGAGUUCUUACCGCUGGGAUACCAUAUGAAUCCAGAAUUUUCAGGUAAAACAGGGAAGAUUCAAUGAAAAUGUUGCUUGAGUUGAGAUUAUCCUUAUCAUAGACAGACAGGAACCCAUGAGCUUCCAGCAUGUUUACUCCUCUACUCUGCUCUCCUGAGACUCCAUCUGAAGUACUGUGUCCAGUUCUGGGGUCCCUAACACAAGAAGGACAUGGAGCUGUUUGAGCAGGUCCAGAGGAGGCCACGAAGAUGAUGAGAGGGUUCAAGCACUUUCCUCACAAGGACAGCCUGUGAGAGCUGGGGCUCCUCAGCCUGGAGAGGAGAAGGUUCCGGGGGACCUUACAGCAGCCAUCCAGUACCUGAAGGGGCCUACAGAAAAGCUGGGGAGGGACUUUUUAGAAGGGCAGGAGAAAUGUUUUAAACUGGAAGAGGGUAGAUUUAGACUAGAUAUUAGGAAGAAAUUCUUUACUGUGAGGAUGGUGAGACACUGGAACAGGUUCCCCAGUGAGGCUGUGGAUGCCCCCUCCCUGGAAGCAUUCAAGGCCUGGCUGGAUGGGGCUUUGAGCAACCUGGUCUAGAGGGAGGUGUCCCUGCAUAUAGCAGGGGGUUGGAACUAGAUGAUCUUAAUGGUCCCUUCCAUCCAAAUCCAUUUGACAAUUCAGUGAUUCUAACAUGGGAGAUGCUUCCACAGGAACUUCACUAUCAGUUUAAAAUGGGGAUAAAGUCAGAAGCAGCAGUUCUCUUCCCGUCUCACCUAUACCACAGCAUGGUUAAUUGUAUCCAGUUAUCACCAAAGAUUCAUCAACACCUGAAGGAAGAUUUCCCUCUGAUGCAGGUGCAUAAGAUAAUCCCUAUAAUACUGGAGUUUGGUAUAUCAAGGCAAAUGCAAGAAACUGAAACUCAAAUCAGCUCCACGAUGAUUUGCAUGGAGCACUGGUCUCACAGGAAAACUUUGGUUCUCUCUUCUAUUGUGUCAAGGCAUCAGUGGCAGCUGGGAAAAAGAAACAAAGGUACAUCAAACACAGCAUCCAACCUCUUAAAGCCAGGGCAGUAGGGUUACACGUAAAGCUCAGACAUAUCAGGCAGACAUGAGAAAAAUGUGCUUUCACAUUUGAAAUGGGGAGAAGAGGUGAUGGUCUCAACAACUUCCAUGACCUGUGCAAGCCCAAAAAGAUGAGGGCUACCAAGGACCAGCCACAGCACUUAACGUGAGCAGUGCUCCCAGUUUUACGAGCAUGAAGACUUUUGGAACAAGAUGGCACAUUUCGGUUUCCCAGUAUCUUUUUUAGAGCUGAAAAUGAUAAAUGAAACCCUGGCAACAAAACUACUUCAUUAGUUUUGCUCAACCCAAAGCACAGAACAGUUCCUGAAGUGGUGAUGGAAAUAGAUGUAGCCCCAACACUGAUAUGAGGGAAGAGAAGAAUUUGCUUAGGUUUACUCAUGCAGAUGCAGAAAGGAAGUAUUAAGGGAACAAAAUGCCACCUUCUUUCUUUGAGCUUUUCCUUGUUUUUGUUUCUUGUUUUAAGUUUCAAGGCUUAGUGAUGAAUAAGCUGCAUGCAAAAAAGCUGGCAUCACAUUUUUCAGAUUACAUCUGUAAUUAGAAAAGGAUAGAGGCCAUUCCCUGGCCCCAGCAAGAAGACUAUAUGGUGUCACAGCAUUUAUAUCCAUACAGAUAAAUCUCUGCUCCACAUUCCUGUUCCCAGCACAAGGUGGUCAAGCCCAUAUCUGCUUUUCCAUGUUGUUCCCAUAGCAUUCCAGAGCAAUCUCUGGAAGAGCACUCAUUAGUGUGGGCCAAAUCAGACUAAGGAUCAUGCUGAUUAUUUAACAAUACAGCUAUCUGCAGUACAGAGCAUAGUGUGCCAUGUCCUGUGCCAUGACGCUGUUCAGUUUAUGAGCACUGAGGUAGCUUUACAGCCUCUUGAAGCUGUGCUCACAUCACAGGGAAAUCAGGCUGGAGUUCCUUCACAGCAUGGUUUGUGAGUCCUGUGCAUGAUGACCAUGGGUCAGGGCCAGGAGAAUGGAGAAGGCAGGACACGUCUUCAGAGAAACAUCCUGUAGGUGUGGGGAGCUGAUACCUGACAGUAAGACUGUGGCUGGGUCCUACACUGAAACACUGUGGAGUUGUCAUCAGGGCUAUCAGGAUUGGUCAGCUGCCUGCAGAGCAGAGUCUCGACCCAUGUUAUUGCCCUUUUUAAAUCAAUUUGCACAGAAACUUAUGCAUACCCACAUGCACAACCACAACUGGUGGUAUGACUGCGUAAUUCAGUGUAUUCUGGAAUGUUAUAGUGGAACUCUGAUUAUUUCAGAGGCUCUUUUUAAAAACUUCCUGCUUAAGAGUACAAACACCAACAUGCAAGCACUAUUCCUGCUAAUGCUUAAGUUACACGCAUUGAUCUGGGUGUGGAUUUCUACCAAAAUUGCAGGGUUUGUUCCACUAAGCAGAUGGCCAUAAAUUAUGCACUGUAUUCUUGAAAAACACUGAUCAUGCCUGGAUGUGAAAGGAACUGAUUGGCAUGAAGAAGACUUUUUUAUUAUUAUUAUUUAAUCAGAAGAUGGGAAGUUGCCUAAAUCAAGUGUAGUGAUGUAUUUGUAUGUAGGACUGAUUUCUGCUUUGGGCAAAGUUUUGAUUUGAUUUAAAUCCCUGAUUUAGAGAAUUUGAAAUGCUUGCCUCAAAGGGCAGUAUCAGUGUUUAUUACACUUCUGCAGCCCCCAUUCAGCAGUGCUGGAGAAGGGAGCUGAAUCAGUCUGUUCACUGAGAGCAUCUAUUCUUUCCAGGCAACCAAAAAGAAUGUAAUUUUUGUAUGACUGACAAAAGGAGGAAAAAUGGGUUUCCAAUUUAGGUGAUUGUCCGGGAAUGCAUAGAACAAAAAAUGCUACCACAGGCACACAACAGAAAACAUAAUUUAGGUAAGACAGAUAACAUCUUGCACAAAACCAGAAGCCUAUUUCCUAAGGUACCACUGGGGCCAUUUCAUUAUUUGCAAAUAAAAUGGUCCCAGCUGGUUAAGACGGUACCCGAUUCGCAUGUGCCAUUGCUUACAUCACUGUCAGCAUAUCUGCAAGACAAGGUCACCUGAAUACAUGGCAUUUCAUUUCAGUCACCGCUUCUGUCAGGAAACAGACUGUUCCUGAAAAUGCAAAGAACUCCGUUUAAUGAUUAACCACCAAAAUGGAUUCUCACUUUAUAAUCGAGGGAAAGGGCAAACCACUGUGACCAGUACACUUUCAGAACUGCUCAUUUUACAAAAAAAAAAAAAAAAAAGAAAGAAAAUAAUCACCACAGUCUCUAAUAUUGCUAAAGAAAAUGCAGACUGGAAUAUUUUGUAGAAAGCCUCUGGCGCAUUAGAAGUUCUCCUGCCCUCUGUAUCUCAGGGUGUAUCACUUCCUACAGAACAGCAGUACUUUGCCUCCAGCAACUCCCUCCACAGUUCUUUCAGUACUGGGAAACCUUGCCUGGUGAGAUUGGUUUUCUCCCUCUAGGACAUUUUGAUAUAGAAGUGCUGUUUUAUGCAUCUUUAUUUCAAUAAAUAAAGUUGAUUGUUGCUCUG